rnacentral:rRNA from 1 species
UACAGAGGUCUCAAGCGUUGUUCGGAUUCAUUGGGCGUAAAGGGUGCGUAGGUGGCGUGGUAAGUCGGGUGUGAAAUUUCGGAGCUUAACUCCGAAACUGCAUUCGAUACUGCUGUGCUUGAGGACUGGAGAGGAGACUGGAAUUUACGGUGUAGCAGUGAAAUGCGUAGAGAUCGUAAGGAAGACCAGUGGCGAAGGCGGGUCUCUGGACAGUUCCUGACACUGAGGCAUGAAGGCCAGGGGAGCAAACGGG